rnacentral:rRNA from 1 species
AAUAAUGCCCUUAUCUCUUCUUAGAAGUAAGGGGCUGGUAUCAGGCACAAUAAAUUGCCCAAGACGCCUAGCUACGCCACACCCACACGGGAAUUCAGCAGUGGUUAACAUUGAAUAUUAGCGACAGCUUGAUUCAGUCAGGGUAAAAAGAGCCGGCCAAUCUGGUGCCAGCCGCCGCGGCUACACCAUGUGGCUCAAGUUGACCUUCAUCGGCGUAAAGCGUGAUUUAAGUGACCACCUCCACUAUAGUUAAACCAAGGCUAAGUUGUGAAAUGCUUACCCACAAGAAACCCAGAAACGAAAGUUACUAUAACCUCACCCACUUGAACUCACGACAGCUGGGGCACAAACUGGGAUUAGAUACCCCACUAUGCCCAGCCG